rnacentral:rRNA from 1 species
AUGAGCGCCUUGAUCCGGAAUCUGCGCCCCGCGCUGUCCGGGCUACUCCGGCCCAAGCCCGCCGCCCGAACGACUGUUCCGCCGCCGCCGACCGCCAGGCGCUACUACCACGCGCCGUCAACGCGGCGAUCUCACGAGGCCCUGAAAUCGCCCGGCCCUGACUCUCUCGUCCGUCGACCACCGCCGUCGCCGCAUGCACCAGCGGUCCCACGCCCACGGUACUACUCCUCCAGGCGACCAAGAAGUUCUAACGAGGUGAAAGUCCAGAUAGUCAUCGCGGGGGUCGUCAUCGUCGGCGGUGUGGUGGUCACCAUCUGCUACGGCACCUUUGAGACCGUGCCCUACACAAACCGCCGCCACUUCGUCGUCCUCACGCACUCGGGAGAGCUUAAGCUCGGCGAGUCGCAGUUCAACAACGAGAAGAAGGAGCUGGGCGACAAGGUCCUCGCUCCGUCCCACCCUGAUUCCGUCCGUGUCAACAGCAUCGCCGCGGAGAUCAUCGGCGCCGCCGGACGCAGCCUCGCCGGCCACGAGGACGAUAAGCUCCUUGACGGAGAAACAUGCGCCGACGAUGCGGCGCUGAGCCCGAAGAAGAAGGCUCCACGGGGAGCGUCGCAGGCAAUGAUCAAGCAUCUCGACGGGUUCAAGUGGGAGGUAAUCGUGGUCGACAAUAAGCAAGUGAACGUCAUGUGCGCACCCGGUGGCAAGAUCAUAGUCUACACCGGCCUGCUCGACAAGUUCAACACCGACGCUGAGAUCGCCGCGGUGCUAGGCCACGAGGUUGCGCACGCCAUUGCAAGGCACGCCGCAGAGAAGCUCACCAAGCACAUGUGGAUUUUCAUGCUCACGGUUUUCCUGCUCAUCUUUAUCGAUGCGCCGGACCUUAUUGAUAAGCUGACCGAAUACCUCCUCGGCCUGCCUUUCUCACGAAAGAUGGAGAUAGAGGCGGAUCACAUUGGAAUCAUGCUGCUCGCUUCCGCUGGUUUUGAUCCACGCAUUGCCCCUAAGGUCUACGAGAAGCUCGGAAAGGUCGGUGGGAAUUCAUCACCGUUGAAAGAGUACAUGUCUACUCAUCCUUGCAGCAAGAAAAGAACGCAGCUUUUAUUGGAUGCCAAGGUCAUGGACAAGGCCAUGGCGUUAUAUACAGAAGCAAGAGCCAGAAAACAAGAAAUUGAUCAAUGA